rnacentral:rRNA from 1 species
AUUGAACGCUGGCGGCAGGCCUAACACAUGCAAGUCGAGCGGAUGAAGGGAGCUUGCUCCUGGAUUCAGCGGCGGACGGGUGAGUAAUGCCUAGGAAUCUGCCUGGUAGUGGGGGAUAACGUCCGGAAACGGGCGCUAAUACCGCAUACGUCCUGAGGGAGAAAGUGGGGGAUCUUCGGACCUCACGCUAUCAGAUGAGCCUAGGUCGGAUUAGCUAGUUGGUGGGGUAAAGGCCUACCAAGGCGACGAUCCGUAACUGGUCUGAGAGGAUGAUCAGUCACACUGGAACUGAGACACGGUCCAGACUCCUACGGGAGGCCGCAGUGGGGAAUAUUGGACAAUGGGCGAAAGCCUGAUCCAGCCAUGCCGCGUGUGUGAAGAAGGUCUUCGGAUUGUAAAGCACUUUAAGUUGGGAGGAAGGGCAGUAAGUUAAUACCUUGCUGUUUUGACGUUACCAACAGAAUAAGCACCGGCUAACUUCGU